CCUCCAAGGCUAAAUACUCCUGACUGACCGAUAGUGAACCAGUACCGUGAGGGAAAGGCGAAAAGAACCCCGGCGAGGGGAGUGAAAAAGAACCUGAAACCGUGUACGUACAAGCAGUGGGAGCACCCUUGUGGUGUGACUGCGUACCUUUUGUAUAAUGGGUCAGCGACUUAUAUUCUGUAGCAAGGUUAACCGUAUAGGGGAGCCGAAGGGAAACCGAGUCUUAACUGGGCGUUAAGUUGCAGGGUAUAGACC
rnacentral:rRNA from 2 species